UCAAGCUAAUAAGAGCACAGGGUGGAUGCCCAGGCACCAAACGCCGAUGAAAGACGUGGCAAGCUGCGAAAAGUCACGGGGAACCGCAAGCAGGUAUUGAUCCGUGAACGUCUGAAUGGGGAAACCCGGCGGGUUAACAGCCCGUCACUAUUAACUGAAUCAAUAGGUUAAUAGGGGGAACGCGGGGAACUGAAACAUCUCAGUACCCGUAGGAAGAGAAAAUAAAGAAUGAUUUCCUAAGUAGCGGCGAGCGAACGGGAAAGAGGCCAAACCGAAGGGCUUGCUCUUCGGGGUUGAGGAUCAGCAAAAAGGACGAGAGACCUUAGCAGAAGAGGAUUGGAAAGUCCCGCCAGAGAGGGUAAAAGCCCCUUACGCGAAAAGGUCAAACGACGAGCUGACACCAGAGUACCGCAGGACACGAGAAAUCCGGUGGGAAGCCGGGAGGACCACCUCCCAAGCCUAAAUACGAAUUGGUGACCGAUAGCGCAUAGUACCGUGAGGGAAAGGUGAAAAGAACCCCGGGAGGGGAGUGAAAAAGAACCUGAAACCCUGUGUUUACAAGCAGUGAAAGUGCGAGCAAGGCACGAUCACGUACUUUUUGUAGAACGGACCGGCGAGUUACGUUAUGCAGCAAGGUUAAGAACUAAAGGUUCGGAGCCGAAGCGAAAGCGAGUCUGAAUAGGGCGAUAGUUGCAUGACGUAGACCCGAAACCGGGUGACCUAUCCAUGAGCAGGUUGAAGUGGAGGUAAAGCUCCAUGGAGGACCGAACCAGACGUCUGUUGAAAAAGGCGGGGAUGACUUGUGGAUAGGGGAGAAAUUCCAAUCGAACCCGGAGAUAGCUGGUUCUCCUCGAAAUAGCUUUAGGGCUAGCCUCAUGGAUCAUUGGUGGGGGUAGAGCACUGAAUGUGCGCGGGGGCCACAAAGCCUACCAAACGCUAUCAAACUUCGAAUACCAUACAAUGCAGACCAUGGGAGUCAGUCCGCGAGAGAUAAGUUCCGCGGGCAAAAGGGGAACACCCCAGAUCAACCGCUAAGGUCCCCAAGUUCACGUUAAGUGGAGAAGGAUGUGGAAUUGCACAGACAACCAGGAUGUUGGCUCAGAAGCAGCCACACAUUUAAAGAGUGCGUAAUAGCUCACUGGUCGAGUGAUUGUGCGCCGAAGAUGUCCGGGGCUAAACGUGACACCGAAGCGAUGGGUGCAUCUGAAGAAGAUGCGCGGUAGAGGAGCAAUGUGCAGAGGCAGAAGCCGUAUCGAGAGGCACGGUGGACACUGCACAAGAGAGAAUGCCGGUAUGAGUAGCGAGAGGCAUGCGAGAAACAUGCCCGUCGAAAGCCCAAGGUUUCCUGGGGAAGGUUCAUCCGCCCAGGGUAAGUCGGGGCCUAAGCCGAGGACGGAAGUCGUAGGCGAUGGACAGCAGGUGUAGAUUCCUGCACUACCGAUGGAAUGAAGCAGUGACACAGAAGGAUAACUCGAGCAGGGUGAUGGUCAACCCUGUGCAAGCAUCAAGGUUGGGUUGUAGUGAAGUACGCAACCCUACAAGCUGAGGUGUGAUGCGGACCGAAAUUUCAGUAGGGAAGCGAGUGAGUUCACGCUGGCGAGAAAAGCUGCUAGUAUAUCCAAAGGUACCCGUACCGGAAACCGACGCAGGUGGGCGAGGAGAGAAUCCUGAGACGAACGGGAGAACCCUUGUUAAGGAACUCGGCAAAAUGACCCCGUAACUUCGGGAUAAGGGGUGCCUGCGAGAGCAGGCCGCAGAGAAUAGUCACAAGCGACUGUUUAGCAAAAACACAGGUAUCUGCGAAAGCGAGAGCUGACGUAUAGGUGCUGACACCUGCCCGGUGCUGGAAGGUUAAGGGAACAUGUUAGAGCAAUCGAAGCAUCGAACCGAAGCCCCAGUAAACGGCGGCCGUAACUAUAACGGUCCUAAGGUAGCGAAAUUCCUUGUCGGGUAAGUUCCGACCCGC
rnacentral:rRNA from 1 species